GUAGGGAAUAUUGGGCAAUGGAUGCAAGUCUGACCCAGCCAUCCCGCGUGCCGGAAGAAGGCCCUCAGGGUUGUAAACGGCUUUUGACGGUGAAGAAUCGACAGGAUGCGUCCUGUUUUGACGGUAGCCGUUGAAUAAGCACCGGCUAACUCCGUGCCAGCAGCCGCGGUAAUACGGAGGGUGCGAGCGUUGUCCGGAUUUAUUGGGUUUAACGGGUGCGUAGGCUGGAAGGUCAGUCAGCGGUGAAAAGCUGUCGCUUAACGAUAGUCGUGCCGCAGAUACGUCCUUGCUUGGAUGAGGAGGAGGCCACUGGAACGGAUGGUGUAGCGGUGAAAUGCAUAGAUAUCAUCCAGAACACCGAUUGCGAAGGCAGGUGGCUGUACCUUAAUCGACGCUGAUGCACGAAAGCAUGGGGAGCAAACAGGAUUAGAAACCCCGGUAGUCC
rnacentral:rRNA from 1 species